rnacentral:tRNA from 1 species
GAAUUUUUAGUUUAAGUAAGAAUUAAUUAUUUACAAUAAUUGGGUAUAAAAUUCUA